rnacentral:rRNA from 1 species
AUUGAACGCUGGCGGCAGGCCUAACACAUGCAAGUCGAGCGAGCGGCGGACGGGUGAGUAAUGUCUGGGAAACUGCCUGAUGGAGGGGGAUAACUACUGGAAACGGUAGCUAAUACCGCAUACCAUCAGAUGUGCCCAGAUGGGAUUAGCUAGUAGGUGGGGUAACGGCUCACCUAGGCGACGAUCCCUAGCUGGUCUGAGAGGAUGACCAGCCACACUGAAACUGUGACACGGCCCAAACUCCUACGGGAGGCGGAAGUGGGAUAUAGUGGACAAAGAGCACAAGCCUGAUGCAGCCAUGCCACGUGUGUGAAGAAGGCCUUCGGAUUGUAAAGCACUAUCAGCGGAGAUGCGUUACCCGCAGAAGCAGCACCGGCUAACUCCAUGCCAGCAGCCGCGGUAAUAC